CCCUUAGAUGUCCGGGGCCGCACGCGCGCUACACUGAAUGAAUCAGCGAGUCUAUCCUGGGCCGAAAGGUCUGGGUAACCCGGUGAACCUCAUUCGUGAUUGGGAUAGGGACUUGCAAUUGUUUCCCUUGAACGAGGAAUUCCCAGUAAGCGCAAGUCAUCAACUUGUGUUGAUUACGUCCCUGCCCUUUGUACACACCGCCCGUCGCACCUACCGAUUGGAUGGUCCGGUGAAGCCUCGGGAUUGUGGUUCUUGCCGCUUUAUUGUGGCGUGACCGCGAGAACUUGUCUAAACCUUAUCAUCUAGAGGAAGGUGAAGUCGUAACA
rnacentral:rRNA from 1 species